rnacentral:rRNA from 1 species
GGCGGCGUGCUUAACACAUGCAAGUCGAACGGGAACCUUUAUUUCGGUAAAGGUGAGAGUGGCAAACGGGUGAGUAACACGUAGGCAACCUGCCGACAGGAUGGGGACAACAUUCCGAAAGGAAUGCUAAUACCGAAUGGAGUCCGGAGAUGGCAUCAUCUCCGGAUAAAAAUGGCCUCUGAAUAUGCUAUCGCCUGUCGAUGGGCCUGCGUCUGAUUAGCCAGUUGGCGGGGUAACGGCCCACCAAAGCGACGAUCAGUAGCCGGUCUGAGAGGAUGAACGGCCACAUUGGGACUGAGACACGGCCCAGACUCCUACGGGAGGCAGCAGUGGGGAAUCUUCCACAAUGGGCGAAAGCCUGAUGGAGCAACGCCGCGUGAGUGAAGAAGGUCUUCGGAUCGUAAAGCUCUGUUGCACGGGACGAAAACCGAGCUUGAGAAUAUUGAGUUUGGGGACG